rnacentral:lncRNA from 1 species
GGUCUGUUAGGACUCUAGCUAGGAGGGUCCUAAUUGAGAGGGACAUUCAUGCAAAACCUACCUAAGCCGACCCCUAUUAAAGAGAUGAAGAGGCUGGCUAGGGUUAGGAGGUUUUUUCUUAGAGAAGAAUUAGGAGUUGUAAGGGAAUAGGAGUCUUGAGUAGGAGUCCUACUAGGAGUUGGUUAGAAGUAAGAGUCUUAAGUAGGAGUCCUAUUAGGAGUUAGGGUUUAGAAGCCCUAUAAAUAGCCAUGUAUUCCGUCUCUUUUCUUAAGCAAUAGAUGAAUCUUUUCUACAGCCUUUGAG